AGAGAGAGACAUGCGCGCAUAUCAAUAAGCGGAGGAAAAGAAACUAACAAGGAUUCCCUUAGUAACGGCGAGUGAAGCGGGAAGAGCUCAAAUUUGAAAUCUUCAAGGUUUUACCUUGACGAAUUGUAGUUUAAAGAAGUGUUUUCUGCUGAAGUUUUGGUAAAAGUUCUUUGGAAUAGGACAUCAUAGAGGGUGAGAAUCCCGUAUUUGACCAUUAUUUUCAGCUUUGUGAUACACUUUCAAAGAGUCGGAUUGUUUGGGAAUGCAGUCCAAAAUGGGUGGUAAAUUUCAUCUAAAGCUAAAUAUUGGCGAGAGACCGAUAGCGAGCAAGUACCGUGAGGGAAAGAUGAAAAGAACUUUGAAAGAGAGUUAAACAGUACGUGAAAUUGUCAAAAGGGAAGCGUUUGACACCAGUGUUGUUUUCUCGAAAAUCAAUUAAAAAUGGCUCGAUUUUGUAUUGCUUGAGACCUUAAAAGCUCACUGUACAUUUUUCGUGUCUUUUUUAAUGCACUUUUCGUUUAACAAGUCAACAUCAGUUUCUUUUGUUGUAAAAGGGUCAUUGGAAGGUGGCUUUCUUUUCGGAGAAAGUGUUUAUAGCCUUUGGCCUCUGCAAUCGGAGAGACUGAGGUCUGCAGCGUAGACUCUUCGGGGUUAGAUACAUUUGUGCUAAGUUAUAGCUUUUUAUAGACAACUUGUUGACUAUAAUUAGUCUUGUAGCUUACUCGCUUAUGCUAUUUUACCUACGCUUAGGAUGUUGAAGAUGUAGCACAUCAU
rnacentral:rRNA from 1 species